CACCGCCUGGGGAGUACGACCGCAAGGUUAAAACUCAAAUGAAUUGACGGGGACCCGCACAAGUAGUGGAGCAUGUGGUUUAAUUCGAAGAUACGCGCAGAACCUUACCAACACUUGACAUGUUCGUCGCGACUCUAAGAGAUUAGAGUUUUCGGUUCGGCCGGACGAAACACAGGUGCUGCAUGGCUGUCGUCAGCUCGUGUCGUGAGAUGUUGGGUUAAGUCCCGCAACGAGCGCAACCCUCACUUUUAGUUGCCAUCAUUUAGUUGGGCACUCUGAAAGAACUGCCAGUGAUAAGCUGGAGGAAGGUGGGGAUGACGUCAAGUCCUCAUGGCCCUUACGUGUUGGGCUACACACGUGCUACAAUGAUAUUUACAACAGGAAGCAAGACGGCGACGUUUAGCAAAUCCUAAAAAGAUAUCUCAGUUCGGAUUGCACUCUGCAACUCGAGUGCAUGAAGCUGGAAUUACUAGUAAUCGUGGAUCAGCGUGCCACGGUGAAUGCGUUCCCGGGUCUUGUACACACCGCCCGUCACACCAUGGGAGUUGGUUCUACCUUAAGGCAAGGUUUAAAACCCUUGACCACGGUAUAGUCAGCGACUGGGGUGAAGUCGUAACAAGGUAGCCGUAGGGGAACCUGCGGCUGGAUUACCUCCUUUCUAAGGAUGAGUGAGAUUUUUAUUUCACUCUAAAUAAUAUACACAGGUUAAUGUUGACCGUCCUCAUUUCUCUUCUUAAAAGUUAGUGUUUCUCUUGCAUGGGGGCCGGUAGCUCAGUUGGUUAGAGCACACCCUUGAUAAGGGUGGGGUCGAAAGUUCGAGUCUUUCUCGGCCCACCAAAUAUAAGAUCAUGGGGGAUUAGCUCAGCUGGGAGAGCGCCUGAUUUGCAUUCAGGAGGUCAGCGGUUCGAUCCCGCUAUCCUCCACCAAUAAACACUUAGUUAUAUAAAUUGUGAAUAAAUAAUAAUUAAUAUCAAUAUCUAUAUCCGAACAUUAGAAAUGUUAUUAACUAAUGUUCAAAUAAAAAUUUGAUUCAACACAGAAUUUUUUUCUG
rnacentral:sRNA from 1 species